rnacentral:tRNA from 1 species
GCAGUGGUGGUUCAGUGGUGGACUUUUUGCGUUCCAUGCAGGAGACCUGGGUUUGACUCCUGGCCAAUGUA